UACGGGGGGGGCAAGCGUUGUUCGGAAUUACUGGGCGUAAAGGGCUCGUAGGCGGCCAACUAAGUCGGACGUGAAAUCCCCAGGCUCAACCUGGGAACUGCGUCCGAUACUGGAUGGCUUGAAUCCGGGAGAGGGAUGCAGAAUUCCAGGUGUAGCGGUGAAAUGCGUAGAUAUCUGGAGGAACACCAGUGGCGAAAGCGCGUGACUGGGCCACAACUGACGCUGAGGAACGAAGGUCAGGGGAGCAAACGGG
rnacentral:rRNA from 1 species